UGGGGAAUUUUGGACAAUGGGCGAAAGCCUGAUCCAGCAAUGCCGCGUGUGUGAAGAAGGCCUUCGGGUUGUAAAGCACUUUUGUCCGGAAAGAAAUCCUUGGCUCUAAUACAGUCGGGGGAUGACGGUACCGGAAGAAUAAGCACCGGCUAACUACGUGCCAGCAGCCGCGGUAAUACGUAGGGUGCAAGCGUUAAUCGGAAUUACUGGGCGUAAAGCGUGCGCAGGCGGUUUGCUAAGACCGAUGUGAAAUCCCCGGGCUCAACCUGGGAACUGCAUUGGUGACUGGCAGGCUAGAGUAUGGCAGAGGGGGUAGAAUUCCACGUGUAGCAGUGAAAUGCGUAGAGAUGUGGAGGAAUACCGAUGGCGAAGGCAGCCCCUGGCCAAGUACUGACGCUCAUGCACGAAAGCGUGGGGAGCAAACAGGAUUAGAUACCCUGGUAGUCCACGCCCUAAACGAUGUCAACUAGUUGUUGGGGAUUCAUUUCCUUAGUAACGUAGCUAACGCGUGAAGUUGACCGCCUGGGGAGUACGGUCGCAAGAUUAAAACUUAAAUGAAUUGACGGGGUCAUAGCUGUUUCCU
rnacentral:rRNA from 1 species